rnacentral:rRNA from 1 species
GCUUAGAAGCAGCCACUCAUUUAAAGAGUGCGUAAUAGCUCACUGGUCGAGUGAUCCUGCGCCGAAAAUUUCCGGGGCUAAAACGUACUACCGAAGCUACGGCAUCAUUUAUGAUGGGUAGGGGAGCUUCGUAUGCAGGCUGAAGCAUGACCGUAAGGACAUGUGGACAGUAUACGAGUGAGAAUGUUGGCAUGAGUAGCGAGACGUGGGUGAGAAUCCCACGGGCCGUAAACCCAAGGUUUCCAGGGGAAGGUUCGUCCGCCCUGGGUUAGUCGGGACCUAAGCCGAGGCCGAAAGGCGUAGGUGAUGGACAACAGGUUGAUAUUCCUGUACCGCCAAUAAGCGUUUGAGAGAUGGAGUGACACAGUAGGAUAAGCUAACCGUACUGUUGGUUAUGUACGGCUAAGCAUUGAGGCAGUCUAAAUAGGCAAAUCCGUUUAGACAAUGCUAGGAUGUGAUGGGGAAGCCCUUCGGGGCGAAGUAGCUGAUUUCACACUGUCAAGAAAAGCUUCUAUCGAGUUUAAAGGCGCCCGUACCGUAAACCGACACAGGUGGGUGAGGAGAGUAUCCUAAGGCCAGCGAGAGAACUAUUGUUAAGGAACUCGGCAAAAUGACCCCGUAACUUAGGGAGAAGGGGUGCCUGUCUAUGACAGGCCGCAGAGAAUAGGCCCAAGCGACUGUUUACCAAAAACACAGGUUUCUGCUAAGUCGCAAGACGAUGUAUAGGAGCUGACGCCUGCCCGGUGCUGGAAGGUUAAGGGGAUCUGUUAGAGCAAUCGAAGCAGUGAACUUAAGCCCCAGUAAACGGCGGCCGUAACUAUAACGGUCCUAAGGUAGCGAAAUUCCUUGUCGGGUAAGUUCCGACCCGCACGAAAGGCGUAACGAUUUGGGCACUGUCUCAACAAUAGACUCGGUGAAAUUGUAAUCCCGGUGAAGAUGCCGGGUACCUGCGACAGGACGGAAAGACCCCAUGGAGCUUUACUGUAGCUUGACGUUGGGUCUUGGUACUACAUGUACAGGAUAGGUGGGAGACUAUGAAGCAUGGACGCCAGUCUGUGUGGAGUCAUCCUUGGGAUACCACCCUUGUAGUACUGGGAUCCUAACCAUAGGCCUUGAAUCAGGUCUUGGAACACCGUCAGGUGGGCAGUUUGACUGGGGCGGUCGCCUCCUAAAAAGUAACGGAGGCGCUCAAAGGUUUCCUCAGCACGGUCGGAAAUCGUGCGAAGAGUGUAAAGGCAAAAGGAAGCUUGAUUGCAAGACAUACAGGUCGAGCAAGGACGAAAGUCGGACUUAGUGAUCCGGUGGUACCGCAUGGAAGGGCCAUCGCUCAACGGAUAAAAGCUACCCUGGGGAUAACAGGCUUAUCUCCCCCAAGAGUCCACAUCGACGGGGAGGUUUGGCACCUCGAUGUCGGCUCAUCACAUCCUGGGGCUGUAUUCGGUCCCAAGGGUUCGGCUGUUCGCCGAUUAAAGUGGUACGCGAGCUGGGUUCAGAACGUCGUGAGACAGUUCGGUCCCUAUCCGUCGCAGGCGUAGGAAAUUUGAGAAGACCUGUCCUUAGUACGAGAGGACCGGGAUGGACGUACCUCUGGUGUACCAGUUGUUCUGCCAAGGGCAUGGCUGGGUAGCUAUGUACGGAAUGGAUAAGCGCUGAAAGCAUCUAAGCGCGAAGCCAACUUCAAGAUAAGAUUUCCCACCGUAAGGGUAAGACCCCAGGAAGACUACCUGGUUGAUAGGUCGAAGGUGUAAGUGCAGUAAUGUAUUUAGCUUAUCGAUACUAAUAGGUCGAGGACUUGACCAA